CGAGCGGACCUCUUCGGAGGUCAGCGGCGGACGGGUGAGGAACACGUGGGUAAUCUGCCUUUCAGACCGGAAUAACGCCCGGAAACGGGCGCUAAUGCCGGAUACGCCCGCGAGGAGGCAUCUUCUUGCGGGGAAAGGCCCAAAUGGGCCGCUGAGAGAGGAGCCCGCGGCGCAUUAGCUGGUUGGCGGGGUAACGGCCCACCAAGGCGACGAUGCGUAGCCGACCUGAGAGGGUGACCGGCCACACUGGGACUGAGACACGGCCCAGACUCCUACGGGAGGCAGCAGUAGGGAAUCUUCCGCAAUGGGCGCAAGCCUGACGGAGCAACGCCGCGUGAGCGAAGAAGGCCUUCGGGUUGUAAAGCUCUGUUGCUCGGGGAGAGCGGCAUGGGGAGUGGAAAGCCCCAUGCGAGACGGUACCGAGUGAGGAAGCCCCGGCUAACUACGUGCCAGCAGCCGCGGUAAAACGUAGGGGGCGAGCGUUGUCCGGAAUCACUGGGCGUAAAGGGUGCGUAGGCGGUCGAGCAAGUCUGGAGUGAAAGUCCAUGGCUCAACCAUGGGAUGGCUCUGGAAACUGCUUGACUUGAGUGCUGGAGAGGCAAGGGGAAUUCCACGUGUAGCGGUGAAAUGCGUAGAGAUGUGGAGGAAUACCAGUGGCGAAGGCGCCUUGCUGGACAGUGACUGACGCUGAGGCACGAAAGCGU
rnacentral:rRNA from 1 species